AAUUCCACCUGCAACCCUAAUUCCCUUUGUUACGUAGCAUAACAUAUUGACAGGUUCUCAGGACGUCUUUAGCAGGGGCCUUUAUUCUGCCAAUCACAUGAUCUCUAUGAAUCUGCUUCUUGUUUUUUUUUAAUUGGGUGACAUUAAAUUCUGAUUUCUUUCUUUCUUUUUUUUUUUUCUCUAGGGAGUCGUCUCUCAAGAGGACUUGAUCUCUGGCCUGUGAACUGCCCCACAUGUUUCUUCUGCACAUCCUGACUCCCAGGCCUGCACAGGGGACUUCUGCACAGGCCUGACUCCCAGGCCUGACAUUUUCUGGUCUGUCUUCGCCAUGGUCUGCUAUCAACUGCAGUUUUGAAUUCUGGUUUCUCUUAUUCUUUGUCUCUAGGCAAGUCAACAGGUUCAGCAGCCAGAGUCCUAUCCUGUACUUCUCUUCACGUUGCAGACAUCCACGAAAGAGUGAGACUGUUUUCGGUUGGAUUGAAGAGCAAAUGUGUGGAAGGCACCAAGGGUCUCACUCUGUCACCUAGGCUGCAGUGCAGUGGUACAAUCACAGUUCACUGCAGCCUUGACCUCUUGGGCUCAAGCAAUCUUCCUGCCUUAGCCUCCUGAGUAGCUGGGACUACAGACGGAGUUUCACUCUUGUUGCCCAGGCUGGAGUGCAAUGAUGCGAUUUCGGCUCACCGCAACCUCCACCUCCCGGGUUCAAGUAGUUCUUCUGCCUCAGCCUCCCAAGUAGCUGGUAUUACAGCUGCAGGCAGAAGAGGUGCAGUAGAAGGAGAAGUGAAGGAGAUUCCAAGUGUAAUAAUGACUCAAAGCACACUAGCUUAUCUGGAGAUGGAGGAAUUCAGGCCACCUUAUAUCUCUGAGAGAGGCUCUUGGUUCACAGCCUACAAGGAAGCAAAGACUUCACCUCUGAAGCCCAAAUACCUGGAUUCUGACAGCCAACCUGAAUGCGCUUGGAAGAAGAUUCUCCCUCAGAACCUCUGAAUACUAGUCCAGCUUGCCAACAACUUGAUUUCAGCCUAUAAAACCCAGGCCAGAGAAAACAGCUGAGCUCACCAGACUUCUGAGCUACAGAACUGUGAGAUAAUAAAUUUGAUUGGUUAAAGUA
rnacentral:lncRNA from 1 species